GCCAUUUGUGCGAAAGAUUCCACUAAGGAGAAUUCCCACAUCAAAGGGCUCCCUGACGCCCCUAGCCCCAAAAGGAAGAACAUCAAAGGCAAGGAAAGUUGUUGACUUUGCUAACUUUUGGUGAUGAAGAAACUGAGUCAAAUAGAGGGAAGUGUCUCACUCAGGACCACACAGCUAACGUGUCUUAAGCCAGAUUCGGCCCAUCAUUGUAGCUCAUCUAGAUCUUUUUGGAUCCUGACCCCGAAGUCCAUCCAACUACGUCAUCCCUGCCAAUUUUGUAUGCCCUGUAAAUUUGAUUCCACCACUUCUUUCUCUGAAGGCAGAUGACAUCAAUAAAAUCUAUUUCAAAAA